rnacentral:lncRNA from 1 species
CUAUAAUCACACUAGAUAUAAUAAUUCCUCAUAGAAGGUUGCUGCUUUUUCCAUUCUACUAUCUUUAUCAAUGAUGUGCUCUCAAUUAUCUUCUUUAAUUGCAGUUAGUUGGUCUUAUCUUUGCCAGUCAUCAUAUCCCUUCUUGCAAAGAAUCUUGGUGUUUAUGAGAUUACUAUUCUUGAAGAAAACGUCAAUCUUCUUAAAAAACAGAAGCAUCAAAGUUUCAUAAGCAUUAUGACUCUUUGCCUUUGUUAAGUUGCACAAUCAAUCAAUUUCCUUUAGACUAGUAGUAAAGAAAUGUAAGUUCCCUUACUUUUGAAAUUGAAUCAGCAUUAGCAGAAUGGUGCUUAGAACACAUGAAAGGUUAUCAAUGGUCAAUACAAUCAGCUAAGGAAAUGUUGGACACUUUCUUUGAGGUAGGAUGAAGUACUAGAAGUGUACAAUUUUGAAUCUUUAUAUCCUAAAAUUAAAAUCGAAUUAGCAUGCCUAAACUGUUACUGCCUUCUAUUAUUGUAUUUACUAUACCAACUGUCAUUAGAAAUUUAUGUCAUAUCUUAUUACAUAAGUCAUACCUCAUAUUUAAUGGCAAAUAUUAUCAGCAAACAGGAGGAGUCCCAAUUGGCAGCCUCUUUGUUUGUGUGGAGUUAAUAGUUUGUAAAAAAGAGGAGUGUAUUAUACCAAAGUUAACUACAAACAUGCAUUUAUAAGAGAUAUUUUCUCUUUUACCACUAAGUUAUCACUUAUGACAAAUUCCUAGGACUGAUAUCAAAAAGACAAGAAUGGGAUGAACUGACUGUUAACUAUUUAGACAUGAACAUUAAAAUUACCAAUGGUAAAUAUGUCACAUCAGUACAUAGGAAGAAUACAUAUAGACCAUUUUUUAUUAAAAUGACAGCAAAGGAACCAUGGCACUAUAAAAUGACAGCAUUUAGGACCUUGCUACAAAGGAUAAUAGCAUACUUCAGUAAUCAGGACACUGUUAAUGAAAAAUUAGAAUGGUAACUCCACCAAGGGGAAUUGCAUGGUUACAACAGAAAUGUCAUCUUAAAGGUAUGGGGAAAAAUCACAUGUAGUACAACUAAACACACCAACCACAAUAAUACAUAUGAUAAAAAAGGAAAGACGUAUAUUGUAGAAAAUAAUAGAAUCUUUAGGAAAUUUAAUAGAAAAUUAGAAUGAAUGACUAAGAAUAAAAUAGUAUGUAAUGGAAGGAACACCAUUUUCAACCUAUUACAAAAUGAAAAAAAUUUUAUAAAAUGGAACGAUUCUCUCAGAGUAUAUGAGAUUCCAUUUAAAAAUUUAGAUAGACAGAGGGAUGAAAUGUACAUAAGGUGCACUUCUUGCUCUUUACAAAAAAGAGUAAUAGAUCAUAAAAAAAGACAGAGCAGGAAACAGUGCGACAGUGAAGUGAGAACGCUUCACUGUCGCAAAGAAUUGCUAACACUGUAGAACCCAAUACAAUUAGUCUAGCCUGGAUUUGAUGUCAGAAAAAGCAAAAAUGAUAAUCAUCUAUAAUGUAAUACCUCAAUAGUGGCAACACCAUAACAACAAUAGGUUUUUAUAUCAAUGUAAUAUAUUUAUGUCAUGUUUAGUAUUAAUGUUGUUUCAAUGUAUAUUUGAAUUAUUGUAUGAUUAUACAGAUUUUAUAAUUUAGUUUUAAUGUUUUCAUUAUUAUAGUA